ensembl:lncRNA
AGAAAUAAUUUACUUGGCUGCAAGUGCCUCAGUGAAUGAUGAGCAGAAAAGAGACAAAAUAACUGAAGAAUGAUUUUAGAAGCAACACUUGCAGGCCAAUUGCUCAGAGGCAGUGCCAGAAAAUAAGGCAAGACUUCUUUUAUUAAACAUGAUUGCUGUGACCUUCUCUGGUUAACCUACAGAAGGAAAAAUGAGCUAUGCACUGCGUAUGAUUUGUUGUUAUUACAGCUGGGCUGUUUUUCAGUGAACCCAUAAAAGCUGGAAUGUUUAUAUUGAUUUAUUUUUACUUUUUUUUUUUUUCUCAAAAGAGCAAAAGCAAAUGAUAUGUCUUCUAGGACCCUUUUCUCUUUGAAAACUGUGUCUGCAAGCCCCUGCUCUCACCUCCUUUCUCUCCGUGAACAUCACAGCCAUGCCUGUCCCUCCCUCUCUCCUUCCAGGGGUACCAGGUGUUAUCCUCCUCUAAGUGCAGGGGUUGCAGCCGUACCUGACCCUUCGACAAGGCUAGUAGGGUAAGCUUUCUCUUCUCUAUCCUCUCCUGAGGCAACCACCAAUAAAGCUCCCUGGAGAACUCAUAAAUGAGAUGGAGGACAGCAAUUCAACGUAUUUAUGCGCAGCAGAGUCAAGAGAGCUGCACUGUGCCUGGGACACACACCAGCAUAGUUCCAGGCGUACCACAGGGACACAGAUCAGCGCCUCAUUUAAGCCACCCUGUCCCCAAGAACACAAUGAAGAGUGCAGCUGGACUACUUCAAAUGGAGACACUUUGUGUUUCAUGGCCACUUGCUGUUACAGGGACAUUUCUGGUGCCUUUUUGACCGUAGGCUCAUUGGUGAGGCCUGAAGCAUCAUGCAGCUGGGCAGCCAUGUGCCUCGAUGGGAAUAAAAAUCGCAGCUGUGAUGCCAUUAGCAAUAGGAUUGCUGCCAUCUGUUGGUUGGAAUCACAUGGGGAACAGGAAGAGUCCUCGAAGGGACAGUGCCAUGUAAGAUGCAGAUCUGCUGAAACAAGGAUAUUUUGAUUGCAAUGACAAGUCCGAUGCAAUCAUGCUUUGGAAAUGGGGAGGGGGGCACCAAGUAAUUAGUCUGCAUUGUUGUAUUACAUCCUUGCCGCCCUGCAUAUCAGCUCAAAACCUUUGCUGAAGUGCUGGGUAAAGUUUUGUAUUUUCAGAAAGUGUGAAAAUAAUUUAAACUUCACGGUUAAAGUUUGUAAAAUUUUGAAUAACUGUUGGAUAAUAAGUUCCAAUAUACUUCAGAGACUGCAUUACUAUGCAGUAAAGGAAAUCCUUCACUUUGUAGCCAUUGCAUCUUUAAAGGUGAUGCUUUACCUUAACACAUUUCAGCACACACCUCUGAAUCCACUUUUCCCCAUAUUUAAAUAUGUGCUUUCCUUCCACAGUGAUGGUCACUUGUGUUCUGCAGACCUGACCUGGGCUCUGCUGAAUGAUGCCUUUGGGGACUUUCCCAGGCCCCCAAGAACCUGACCAGCCACUCACCUGGGGUCUUGGGUCUUGCCAAACCACCUCUGGGGUACAAAAACGCAGGCUGUGGGUCUACAAAUAUUUCCCUUUGCAGCAGUGCCAGCUCCAGCAGUUUGUGCUGCUGAUUGCUCGUGGCCACCCCACAGCUAUGCCCUUGCUAACUACUGUUCCUGGGAUGGCACCGUAGGCCAAACAAGCAAACUCACAUGGACUGGAAAUAACCAC